UACGGAGGAUCCAAGCGUUAUCCGGAAUCAUUGGGUUUAAAGGGUCCGUAGGCGGUUUGGUAAGUCAGUGGUGAAAGCCCAUCGCUCAACGGUGGAACGGCCAUUGAUACUGCUAGACUUGAAUUAUUAGGAAGUAACUAGAAUAUGUAGUGUAGCGGUGAAAUGCUUAGAGAUUACAUGGAAUACCAAUUGCGAAGGCAGGUUACUACUAAUGGAUUGACGCUGAUGGACGAAAGCGUGGGGAGCAAACAGG
rnacentral:rRNA from 1 species